rnacentral:sRNA from 1 species
AAACGGCCCAUGUCCUCCUCGAGGACAUCGUGAAGCUCGAGAUCGAUAUAGUAGUAGAAGAGGACGUCGUGUUCGGCCUCGUUGGUGACG